rnacentral:rRNA from 1 species
UACGAAGGGGGCGAGCGUUGUUCGGAAUCACUGGGCGUAAAGGGCGCGUAGGCGGCCCUCCUUGUCGCGUGUGAAAGCCCCGGGCUCAACCUGGGAACGGCGCGCGAGACGGGGGGGCUGGAGUUCGGGAGAGGAGCGUGGAAUUCCAGGUGUAGCGGUGAAAUGCGUAGAUAUCUGGAGGAACACCGGUGGCGAAGGCGGCAUCCUGGACCAACACUGACGCUGAGGAGCGAAAGCCAGGGGAGCAAACGGG